rnacentral:rRNA from 1 species
GCCUAGCCUUAAACACAGAUGAUUGUUUUACUAUCAUUUUUCGCCCGGGAACUACGAGCUAUGGCUUGAAACCCAAAGGACUUGGCGGUGCUUUAGACCCCCCUAGAGGAGCCUGUUCUAGAACCGACUCUACCCGUUCAACCUCACCCCCUCUUGUUCCUUCCCGCCUAUAUACCGCCGUCGUCAGCUUACCCUAUGAAGGGUUAAUAGUAAGCACAAUUGGCAAAGCCUAAAAAGUCAGGUCGAGGUGUAGCUUACUGAGGGGGGACAGAAAUGGGCUACAUUUUCUGACCCAGAAAAUACGGACGUUGCACUGAAAAAGCAUCUGAAGGAGGAUUUAGUAGUAAGGGAGGAAUAGAGUGCCCCCCUGAAACCGGCACUGAAGCGCGU